rnacentral:rRNA from 2 species
GGAUGCGAUCAUACCAGCAUUAAAGCACCGGAAACUCCGAUGUUAGCGUGCUUGGGCGAGAGUAGUACUGGGAUGGGUGACCUCCUCGGAAGUCCUCGUGUUGCAUUCC